rnacentral:rRNA from 1 species
AACGAACGCUGGCGGCAUGCCUAACACAUGCAAGUCGAACGAGACCUUCGGGUCUAGUGGCGCACGGGUGCGUAACGCGUGGGAACCUGCCCUUAGGUUCGGAAUAACUCCCCGAAAGGGGUGCUAAUACCGGAUAAUGUCUUCGGACCAAAGAUUUAUCGCCUUUGGAUGGGCCCGCGUUGGAUUAGCUAGUUGGUAGGGUAAAAGCCUACCAAGGCGACGAUCCAUAGCUGGUCUGAGAGGAUGAUCAGCCACACUGGGACUGAGACACGGCCCAGACUCCUACGGGAGGCAGCAGUGGGGAAUAUUGGAAAAUGGGAGAAAGCAUGAUCCAGCAAUGACGCGUGAGUGAUGAAGGCAUUAGGGUUGUAAAGCUCUUUUAACAGGGAUGAUAAUGACAGUACCGGGAGAAUAAGCACCGGCUAACUCCGUG